GCACCUGGCUCAGUUGGUAGAGCACGAGACUCUUGAUCUCUGGGUGGUGAGUUCAAGCCCUUGCUGGGUGUG
rnacentral:tRNA from 1 species